GAAAGAGGAAGCCCGGGAAACCGGUUUCCGCGUUGCAGCUGCUAUCCAGCGCUCCCUGGCCGGUCCCAGAACCGAGACCUGGGCGCUAGGUGCAGCUGCUCUGCGGUGCCCGCUGCUGUGUGGGCGCCUGUACGUCAGUCAGGGCAGGCGGCGCCGGGAGCGGACCGAGGGCUGCCCGGCGGAAGGGCUCUGUCCGCGGCUGCGGGCCUUAAGAACGUGCGGGCCGCCUCCGUUGUGGGCCUCCCGGCAGAUUCUUCACCAUCUGAGCCACCAGGGAAGCCCAGAGCUCCCUCAGCCCUCCUGCCUGCCAUGUGAGGACACAAAGAAGAUGGCAGUCUGAAUCCAGAACUGCACCUCAUUUGCUGAAUGUAGCCCACAGCAUCUCUUCUCCCGAAACACAGGAAACAAGUAUACCAGGACUCGGUCAGAGGCUGUUUGAGCAAUCAGUUCACCUCGAGCAUCUCAAAUCUGCCUUCCCCUUUAUCCCAGAAUGGAGCCCCUGCACUUCACCUUCCUCCUGUCUGAGAACGAGGACUUGCCCACCUGGGGCCCAUGGCAAGCUAAUUGAGAGGGCCUUUGCCUGUCUUCUUGAGACGGCAUUUGUACUGUCUUGGGGUCUUAAUCCAAGUUCUAAGCAAGCCUGGUUUAAAUGGAGCUUGGAGACCUGGCUUAGCACCCAGCCUGUGCCGGGACUGACGCACUGCAGGCCUGUGCCCUCUGCUUCAGCCAGAGGGGCUUAAGGCGAUGGCAUGAGAAAAACAGGCCACUAGAAAGUAAAGUGUAUGUCUCAGGAAGAAUGGUGAUGAACCCAGAGUUUUGCAUCUUCCCAUCAGAGAAAAGAACUAAAAUCAUUAACUUAAGAUACCUUUGUGACUGCCAGUAACCUUUUACUGCGAUGUAGACUUGCCUGCAUGUAAUCCCCAGCCGAAAGGAUGAAUAAACUCACCUCCCAC
ensembl:lncRNA